rnacentral:lncRNA from 1 species
UCGAAUCGCCGGCCCUUGGAGAGCUCCAGCAGCAGCUCGUCGUUCUCCAGCAGCAUGCUCCAUUUCCUGGCCGUCACCAGCUGCCGUGCCUCGUCCUCGUCGUCCAUGGCGACCCGGUAGUUGAGAUCGCCGAGCAACACCACGCGGCUGUAAGAACGAACACGGGAACAGAGGCAACCAUUCCAUCAGUAGUAGUAGUUACUUACUAGUUAGUGAGCUAUUGGCUCGAUCUCCUGCAGCCUGCUCACUCAUGGUGAAGAAUCUUCUUGGGCAGGGUCAGCUCCUGCGACGCCUCCGCCUCCGCCUCCGCGCUGCCACGGCCGUGGAACCUUG